rnacentral:sRNA from 1 species
GCCAGGUAUGGUGGCACAUGCCUGUAGUCCCAGCAGCUUGGGAGGCUGAGGCAGGAGGAUUGCAAGUUCAAAGCUAGCUUCAGCAACUUAGUGAGACCCUGCUCU